GGGUUGUGAGGUUAAGCGACUAAGCGUACACGGUGGAUGCCCUGGCAGUCAGAGGCGAUGAAGGACGUGCUAAUCUGCGAUAAGCGUCGGUAAGGUGAUAUGAACCGUUAUAACCGGCGAUUUCCGAAUGGGGAAACCCAGUGUGUUUCGACACACUAUCAUUAACUGAAUCCAUAGGUUAAUGAGGCGAACCGGGGGAACUGAAACAUCUAAGUACCCCGAGGAAAAGAAAUCAACCGAGAUUCCCCCAGUAGCGGCGAGCGAACGGGGAGCAGCCCAGAGCCUGAAUCAGUGUGUGUGUUAGUGGAAGCGUCUGGAAAGGCGCGCGAUACAGGGUGACAGCCCCGUACACAAAAAUGCACAUACUGUGAGCUCGAUGAGUAGGGCGGGACACGUGGUAUCCUGUCUGAAUAUGGGGGGACCAUCCUCCAAGGCUAAAUACUCCUGACUGACCGAUAGUGAACCAGUACCGUGAGGGAAAGGCGAAAAGAACCCCGGCGAGGGGAGUGAAAAAGAACCUGAAACCGUGUACGUACAAGCAGUGGGAGCACGCUUCGGCGUGUGACUGCGUACCUUUUGUAUAAUGGGUCAGCGACUUAUAUUCUGUAGCAAGGUUAACCGAAUAGGGGAGCCGAAGGGAAACCGAGUCUUAACUGGGCGUUAAGUUGCAGGGUAUAGACCCGAAACCCGGUGAUCUAGCCAUGGGCAGGUUGAAGGUUGGGUAACACUAACUGGAGGACCGAACCGACUAAUGUUGAAAAAUUAGCGGAUGACUUGUGGCUGGGGGUGAAAGGCCAAUCAAACCGGGAGAUAGCUGGUUCUCCCCGAAAGCUAUUUAGGUAGCGCCUCGUGAAUUCAUCUCCGGGGGUAGAGCACUGUUUCGGCAAGGGGGUCAUCCCGACUUACCAACCCGAUGCAAACUGCGAAUACCGGAGAAUGUUAUCACGGGAGACACACGGCGGGUGCUAACGUCCGUCGUGAAGAGGGAAACAACCCAGACCGCCAGCUAAGGUCCCAAAGUCAUGGUUAAGUGGGAAACGAUGUGGGAAGGCCCAGACAGCCAGGAUGUUGGCUUAGAAGCAGCCAUCAUUUAAAGAAAGCGUAAUAGCUCACUGGUCGAGUCGGCCUGCGCGGAAGAUGUAACGGGGCUAAACCAUGCACCGAAGCUGCGGCAGCGACACUGUGUGUUGUUGGGUAGGGGAGCGUUCUGUAAGCCUGCGAAGGUGUACUGUGAGGUAUGCUGGAGGUAUCAGAAGUGCGAAUGCUGACAUAAGUAACGAUAAAGCGGGUGAAAAGCCCGCUCGCCGGAAGACCAAGGGUUCCUGUCCAACGUUAAUCGGGGCAGGGUGAGUCGACCCCUAAGGCGAGGCCGAAAGGCGUAGUCGAUGGGAAACAGGUUAAUAUUCCUGUACUUGGUGUUACUGCGAAGGGGGGACGGAGAAGGCUAUGUUGGCCGGGCGACGGUUGUCCCGGUUUAAGCGUGUAGGCUGGUUUUCCAGGCAAAUCCGGAAAAUCAAGGCUGAGGCGUGAUGACGAGGCACUACGGUGCUGAAGCAACAAAUGCCCUGCUUCCAGGAAAAGCCUCUAAGCAUCAGGUAACAUCAAAUCGUACCCCAAACCGACACAGGUGGUCAGGUAGAGAAUACCAAGGCGCUUGAGAGAACUCGGGUGAAGGAACUAGGCAAAAUGGUGCCGUAACUUCGGGAGAAGGCACGCUGAUACGUAGGUGAAGUCCCUCGCGGAUGGAGCUGAAAUCAGUCGAAGAUACCAGCUGGCUGCAACUGUUUAUUAAAAACACAGCACUGUGCAAACACGAAAGUGGACGUAUACGGUGUGACGCCUGCCCGGUGCCGGAAGGUUAAUUGAUGGGGUUAGCGGUAACGCGAAGCUCUUGAUCGAAGCCCCGGUAAACGGCGGCCGUAACUAUAACGGUCCUAAGGUAGCGAAAUUCCUUGUCGGGUAAGUUCCGACCUGCACGAAUGGCGUAAUGAUGGCCAGGCUGUCUCCACCCGAGACUCAGUGAAAUUGAACUCGCUGUGAAGAUGCAGUGUACCCGCGGCAAGACGGAAAGACCCCGUGAACCUUUACUAUAGCUUGACACUGAACAUUGAGCCUUGAUGUGUAGGAUAGGUGGGAGGCUUUGAAGUGUGGACGCCAGUCUGCAUGGAGCCGACCUUGAAAUACCACCCUUUAAUGUUUGAUGUUCUAACGUUGGCCCCUGAUCGGGGUUGCGGACAGUGUCUGGUGGGUAGUUUGACUGGGGCGGUCUCCUCCUAAAGAGUAACGGAGGAGCACGAAGGUUGGCUAAUCCUGGUCGGACAUCAGGAGGUUAGUGCAAUGGCAUAAGCCAGCUUGACUGCGAGCGUGACGGCGCGAGCAGGUGCGAAAGCAGGUCAUAGUGAUCCGGUGGUUCUGAAUGGAAGGGCCAUCGCUCAACGGAUAAAAGGUACUCCGGGGAUAACAGGCUGAUACCGCCCAAGAGUUCAUAUCGACGGCGGUGUUUGGCACCUCGAUGUCGGCUCAUCACAUCCUGGGGCUGAAGUAGGUCCCAAGGGUAUGGCUGUUCGCCAUUUAAAGUGGUACGCGAGCUGGGUUUAGAACGUCGUGAGACAGUUCGGUCCCUAUCUGCCGUGGGCGCUGGAGAACUGAGGGGGGCUGCUCCUAGUACGAGAGGACCGGAGUGGACGCAUCACUGGUGUUCGGGUUGUCAUGCCAAUGGCACUGCCCGGUAGCUAAAUGCGGAAGAGAUAAGUGCUGAAAGCAUCUAAGCACGAAACUUGCCCCGAGAUGAGUUCUCCCUGACUCCUUGAGAGUCCUGAAGGAACGUUGAAGACGACGACGUUGAUAGGCCGGGUGUGUAAGCGCAGCGAUGCGUUGAGCUAACCGGUACUAAUGAACCGUGAGGCUUAACCUUACAACGCCGAAG
rnacentral:rRNA from 1 species